AAGAGUUCGUAGGUGGUUGAAAAAGUUAGUGGUGAAAUCCCAGAGCUAAACUCUGGAACUGCCAUUAAAACUUUUCAGCUAGAGUAUGAUAGAGGAAAGCAGAAUUUCUAGUGUAGAGGUGAAAUUCGUAGAUAUUAGAAAGAAUACCAAUUGCGAAGGCAGCUUUCUGGAUCAUUACUGACACUGAGGAACGAAAGCAUGGGUAGCGAAGAGGAUUAGAUACCCUCGUAGUCCAUGCCGUAAACGAUGUGUGUUAGACGUUGGAAAUUUAUUUUCAGUGUCGCAGCGAAAGCGAUAAACACACCGCCUGGGGAGUACGACCGCAAGGUUAAAACUCAAAUGAAUUGACGGGGAUCCGCACAAGUAGUGGAGCAUGUGGUUUAAUUCGAAGAUACGCGCAGAACCUUACCAACACUUGACAUGUUCGUCGCGACUCUAAGAGAUUAGAGUUUUCGGUUCGGCCGGACGAAACACAGGUGCUGCAUGGCUGUCGUCAGCUCGUGUCGUGAGAUGUUGGGUUAAGUCCCGCAACGAGCGCAACCCUCACUUUUAGUUGCCAUCAUUAAGUUGGGCACUCUGAAAGAACUGCCAGUGAUAAGCUGGAGGAAGGUGGGGAUGACGUCAAGUCCUCAUGGCCCUUACGUGUUGGGCUACACACGUGCUACAAUGGUAUCUACAACAGGAAGCAAGACUGCGAGGUCAAGCAAAUCCUUAAAAGAUACCUCAGUUCGGAUU
rnacentral:rRNA from 1 species